UACGUAGGCAGCAAGCGUUGUUCGGAGUUACUGGGCGUAAAGAGUGCGUAGGUGGUGCCCUAAGUCUGUUGUGAAAUCUCCCGGCUUAACUGGGAGGGUGCGGCGGAAACCCUCUGGCUAGAGUCCGGAAGAGGAGAGUGGAAUUCCUGGUGUAGCGGUGAAAUGCGCAGAUAUCAGGAAGAACACCCGUGGCGAAGGCGGCUCUCUGGGACGGUACUGACGCUGAGACGCGAAAGCGUGGGGAGCAAACAGG
rnacentral:rRNA from 1 species